ensembl:ncRNA C07H6.15 ncRNA
AUACAUUAAAGCACAUUAGCGCAUUUCCCGAGUGAAAGACCAUGUGAAAUGAAAGUAACAAAAUGCGACGAUUUACUUUCGUUUCUCGUAUUCCCUGGCAACAGCAGCGGAAGGCGUUGAAUGUGUUGACAGUCAGCCAGCGGC